CCUACGGGUGGCAGCAGUGAGGAAUAUUGGUCAAUGGACGAGAGUCUGAACCAGCCAAGUAGCGUGAAGGAUGACUGCCCUAUGGGUUGUAAACUUCUUUUAUAUGGGAAUAAAAUGUUCCACGUGCGGGAUUUUGUAUGUACCAUAUGAAUAAGGAUCGGCUAACUCGGUGCCAGCAGCCGCGGUAAUAGGGAGGAUCCAGCGUUAUCCGGAUUUAUUGGGUUUAAAGGGCGCGUAGGUGGAUUGUUAAGUCAGUUGUGAAAGUUUGCGGCUCAACCGUAAAAUUGCAGUUGAAACUGGCAGUCUUGAGUGCAGUAGAGGUGGGCGGAAUUCGUGGUGUAGCGGUGAAAUGCUUAGAUAUCACGAAGAACACCGGUUGCGAAGGCAGUUCACUGGACUGCAACUGACGCUGAGGCUCGAAAGUGUGGGUAUCAAACAGGAUUAGAUACCCCAGUAGUC
rnacentral:rRNA from 1 species